rnacentral:tRNA from 1 species
GCGGGUGUGGCGCAGUGGUAGCGCAUCUGCUUCCCAAGCAGGUUGUCGUGGGUUCAAAUCCCACCACCCGCU